CAGGAAGUAGUUUAAAAUUAGAAUUUUGGAUUUGGGUGCCAAUGGUAAGAUUUAAAAAAAAUUUCUUCUUUCUGA
rnacentral:tRNA from 1 species